CCUACGGGGGGCUGCAGUGGGGAAUAUUGGACAAUGGGGGGAACCCUGAUCCAGCCAUGCCGCGUGUGUGAAGAAGGCCCUCGGGUUGUAAAGCACUUUCAGUGAGGAAGAACGCCUGGUGGUUAAUACCCAUCAGGAAAGACAUCACUCACAGAAGAAGCACCGGCUAACUCCGUGCCAGCAGCCGCGGUAAUACGGAGGGUGCGAGCGUUAAUCGGAAUUACUGGGCGUAAAGCGCGCGUAGGUGGCUUGAUAAGCCGGUUGUGAAAGCCCCGGGCUCAACCUGGGAACGGCAUCCGGAACUGUCAAGCUAGAGUGCAGGAGAGGAAGGUAGAAUUCCCGGUGUAGCGGUGAAAUGCGUAGAGAUCGGGAGGAAUACCAGUGGCGAAGGCGGCAUUCUGGACUGACACUGACACUGAGGUGCGAAAGCGUGGGUAGCAAACAGGAUUAGAUACCCUAGUAGUC
rnacentral:rRNA from 1 species